rnacentral:lncRNA from 1 species
UAUUUCACUAAAGACCUUUAAACGGGUCAAAGUAACGGAUUCACAAAGAGUUCGAUAAUAUAUAAAAGCAAUGAAUAUCGCUAAGUUGACUAAACUAGUAGGAAUAACGAAAUUACGUUAUUUCAAGUUACAUUAUGUCGUAUGAGGUACAUAGAUGUUUUGUAACCAAAAAGAUAGUACAAUAAUUUUUCUGGUAAUACUAACAAUCGGUCAAAAUAUGAGCAAUGCUCAAUUGAUAUUCGAAAGCAAAUGCAUGGAGUUAAACUCGAUAAAUUAUGUAAGAAAAGGCUUCGAGGACGAAACCUCUUUAAAGGGGGUAGACUUGUAACAUCCCAAAAACGGGUUUGGUAAUCAAACCACGUUAAUAGUAAAGACGGGUAAAAUGCCGUUAGUGGUAAAAAUUAACCCAGUAAAUAUUAGGACUCAAAUAAAUAAACCUAAUAUUAAUUAAAAAGGGGGACAAAUACUUUGAGAAAACAAAGUAUAUGAAAAAGACAAAUUAAACGGACUUAAAAACAUAACAGGUUAUAAUUUCCCGAACCCGUUAAAAUAACUAGGAGUAAUUAACCUAGUUAGUGGCUUGUGAUUAAGUGACUAAUGGUGAGGCAUAGCUUUAUUUGAUCAAAAGAAAACUAGAGGGACCAAAAGUGUUUAACUUGAAACUUAUAUCAAUAAUAAAAAAAAAAACCUCAAACACUCACAUUUGUGAGUGUCUGAGUUCGACCAGAAUGCCAGGGGCGACCAAGGGGAAGAACUCCAACCUAGUUCUUGUUUAAAUCCACAAAUUGAAGGUCAAGAUCAGCCCUAAAACGAGAUCUGAACCCGGAUUAGUGAUCCCCAUUGAAAGGGGAGUCACAAGUUGACUCUAAACAAGCUAGGUGGGAGCUUGAAAAGGAACGGGUCAAACGGAUCAUGGAUGCGAAGAAUGUUUGCGGGGACGCGAGGGUAAAACGGCUUAUGGAAUUUACGUGGCUAUGAAUCAGCAAAUUAUUAAGGCAAGGUAUUAAAACGGGUCAAUACUUUGACCCGCGCCAGGACACUCGCGUUUGAAGACGACGAGAGUCAAACAAAUUGUGGAUAUGAUGAUGGAACGGUCCGAAGUAUGACAAGAGGAGCAUGCUCACCGAGGACUAAAUCACGUAACGACCGCGAACAAGGUUAAUGGCAAGGAACGCCCGUCGGGGCAAACAUUACCAGGACCUUAGGUAUACUUGGAGCUUGCACAGGGAAGAGCAGGUCGUUGUGGGCAGAUGGAUCGUAAUGAUGUUGAACUCAUAACUCGUAAAACUAUUUGGAUUUACUUUACUAUGCUUCCGCUACUUAAAACAGUGUUUGGUUUUUGAAACAUCAAUCAUGUCAUGGUGACUUAUAUUAAUUACUUCU